rnacentral:rRNA from 1 species
AUAUUCUGUGAGCAGGAAAGAGGGGGAUCGCAAGACCUCUUGCUUUAGGAGCGGCCGAUGUCGGAUUAGCUAGUUGGUGAGGUAAAGGCUCACCAAGGCGACGAUCCGUAGCGGGUCUGAGAGGAUGAUCCGCCACACUGGGACUGAGACACGGCCCAGACUCCUACGGGAGGCAGCAGUGGGGAAUUUUGGACAAUGGGCGCAAGCCUGAUCCAGCCAUGCCGCGUGAGUGAAGAAGGCCUUCGGGUUGUAAAGCUCUUUCGGUGGGGAAGAAAUGGCACGGGUUAAUACCCUGUGUUGAUGACGGUACCCGCAUAAGAAGCACCGGCUAACUACGUG